UACGUAGGGUGCAAGCGUUAAUCGGAAUUACUGGGCGUAAAGCGUGCGUAGGUGGUUCGUUAAGUCUGUCGUGAAAGCCCCGGGCUUAACCUGGGAAUGGCAUUUGGGACUGCAAGGCUCGAGUGCGGCAGAGGAGACUGGAAUUCCUGGUGUAGCAGUGAAAUGCGUAGAUAUCAGGAGGAACAGCGAUGGCGAAGGCAGGUCUCUGGGCUGACACUGACGCUCAUGCACGAAAGCGUGGGGAGCAAACAGG
rnacentral:rRNA from 1 species